rnacentral:rRNA from 1 species
UUACGGCCAUGUCACGUUGAACCAGUACUUCCCGUACGAUUACCGAAGUUAAGCAAUGUCGAGUCUGUUCAGUAUUAAGAUGGGUGACUGCUUAGGAAUGCCUGGUCCUGU